rnacentral:rRNA from 1 species
GACGAACGCUGGCGGCGUGCUUAACACAUGCAAGUCGAACGGAAAGGCCCUGCUUGCAGGGUACUCGAGUGGCGAACGGGUGAGUAACACGUGGGUGAUCUGCCCUGCACUUCGGGAUAAGCCUGGGAAACUGGGUCUAAUACCGGAUAGGAGCCAUUUUUAGUGUGAUGGUUGGAAAGUUUUUUCGGUGUAGGAUGAGCUCGCGGCCUAUCAGCUUGUUGGUGGGGUAAUGGCCUACCAAGGCGGCGACGGGUAGCCGGCCUGAGAGGGUGGACGGCCACAUUGGGACUGAGAUACGGCCCAGACUCCUACGGGAGGCAGCAGUGGGGAAGAGUGCACAAUGGGCGCAAGCCUGAUGCAGCGACGCCGCGUGGGGGAGGACGGCCUUCGGGUUGUAAACUCAGUUCGCUAGGGACGAAGCUUUUUGUGACGGUACCUAGAGAAGAAGCACCGGCUAACUACGUG